rnacentral:rRNA from 1 species
GCUUAGAGAGGGGUCAAUGUCCUAUCAGCUAGUUGGUAGGGUAAUGGCCUACCAAGGCUAAGACGGGUAGCCGGCCUGAGAGGGUGGUCGGCCACACUGGGACUGAGACACUGCCCAGACUCCUACGGGAGGCUGCAGUCGAGAAUCUUUCGCAAUGCCCGAAAGGGUGACGAAGCGACGCCGCGUGUGGGAAGAAGGCCUUCGGGUUGUAAACCACUGUCGGGAGUUAAGAAAUGUAAGGGUAUUAAUAGUAUCCUUACUUGACUAAGGCUCCGGAGGAAGCCACGGCUAACUCUGUGCCAGCAGCCGCGGUAAUACAGAGGCGGCAAGCGUUGUUCGGAAUUAUUGGGCGUAAAGAGCACGUAGGCGGCUUUGUAAGUCAGUUGUGAAAGCCUUCUGCUCAACGGAAGAACAGCAUCUGAUACUGCAAGGCUAGAGUGCGGAAGGG